rnacentral:pre_miRNA from 14 species
GCUCUGUGGCACCUCAAGGUGAAUAUAGCUGCCCAUCGACGUAUCGCUGGAAACCGGUGGGCCGCUGUUCACCUAAAGUGACGCAAGGU